rnacentral:rRNA from 1 species
GCUAACGCGUGAAGGCGAGCACUCUAGACGAACUGCCGUUGACAAAACGGAGGAAGGUGGGAUGACGUCAAAUCAUCAUGCCCCUUAUGUUCUGGGCUACACACGUGCUACAAUGGCCGGUACAGACGGACGCAAAGCCGCGAGGUGGAGCAAAUCCUAAAAAGCCGGUCUCAGUUCGGAUUGCAGGCUGCAAUUCGCCUGCAUGAAGUCGGAAUCGCUAGUAAUCGCAGGUCAGCAUACUGCGGUGAAUACGUCCCGGGCCUU